AACGAACGCUGGCGGCAGGCUUAACACAUGCAAGUCGAACGCCCCGCAAGGGGAGUGGCAGACGGGUGAGUAACGCGUGGGAAUCUACCCGGUUCUACGGAACAACUGGGGGAAACUUCAGCUAAUACCGUAUACGCCCUACGGGGGAAAGAUUUAUCGGAAUUGGAUGAGCCCGCGUUGGAUUAGCUAGUUGGUGAGGUAACGGCUCACCAAGGCGACGAUCCAUAGCUGGUCUGAGAGGAUGAUCAGCCACACUGGGACUGAGACACGGCCCAGACUCCUACGGGAGGCAGCAGUGGGGAAUAUUGGACAAUGGGCGCAAGCCUGAUCCAGCCAUGCCGCGUGAGUGAUGAAGGCCUUAGGGUUGUAAAGCUCUUUCAGUGGGGACGAUAAUGACGGUACCCACAGAAGAAGCCCCGGCUAACUUCGUGCCAGCCGCCGCAGUAAUAC
rnacentral:rRNA from 1 species